rnacentral:piRNA from 1 species
UGAAAGGAAGAGAGGUACCCACAUC